GAUGUGAGCUAUAUCACUUCAAUGAUCGGUCAAGAAUGAGUAUCAUCGGAUCUGCUAAACCCUCGCCGUCUGACGGUGAGGGUUUUUCUUUGG
rnacentral:sRNA from 1 species